GGGUUGUGAGGUUAAGCGACUAAGCGUACACGGUGGAUGCCCUGGCAGUCAGAGGCGAUGAAGGACGUGCUAAUCUGCGAUAAGCGUCGGUAAGGUGAUAUGAACCGUUAUAACCGGCGAUUUCCGAAUGGGGAAACCCAGUGUGAUUCGUCACACUAUCGUUAACUGAAUACAUAGGUUAACGAAGCGAACCGGGGGAACUGAAACAUCUAAGUACCCCGAGGAAAAGAAAUCAACCGAGAUUCCCCCAGUAGCGGCGAGCGAACGGGGAGGA
rnacentral:rRNA from 1 species